rnacentral:rRNA from 1 species
GAUGAACGCUCGCUACAGGCUUAACACAUGCAAGUCGAGGGGAAACGACAUCGAAAGCUUGCUUUUGAUGGGCGUCGACCGGCGCACGGGUGAGUAACGCGUAUCCAACCUGCCCAUCACUUGGGGAUAACCUUGCGAAAGUAAGACUAAUACCCAAUGAUAUCUCUAGAAGUCAUCUGAAAGAGAUUAAAGAUUUAUCGGUGAUGGAUGGGGAUGCGUCUGAUUAGCUUGUUGGCGGGGUAACGGCCCACCAAGGCAACGAUCAGUAGGGGUUCUGAGAGGAAGGUCCCCCACAUUGGAACUGAGACACGGUCCAAACGCCUACGGGAGGCAGCAGUGAGGAAUAUUGGUCAAUGGGCGAGAGCCUGAACCAGCCAAGUAGCGUGCAGGAAGACGGCCCUAUGGGUAGUAAACUGCUUUUAGAAGGGAAUAAAGUGAGAGUCGUGACUCUUUUUGUAUGUACCUUAUGAAUAAGGACCGGCUAAUUCCGUG